rnacentral:rRNA from 1 species
AUGGCGACCGGCGCACGGGUGCGUAACGCGUAUGCAACCUACCUGUAACAGGGGGAUAACACUGAGAAAUCGGUACUAAUACCGCAUAACACUAUGAGAGGCAUCUCUUGUGGUUGAAAGUUUCGGCGGUUACAGAUGGGCACGCGUUGUAUUAGCUGGUUGGUAAGGUAACGGCUUACCAAGGCGACGAUACAUACGGGGGACUGAGAGGUUAAACCCCCCCACAUUGGUACUGAGACACGGACCAAACUCCUACGGAAGGCAGCAG